GGGAGAUCUGGAAGAUCAUUCAUCUAAAUCUUCUCUUUGCUUCUCCAUAAGCAACUACCCCAGCAACAGUCAUUGUGUAACCUGCAAUCCCCACGAAUGUUACAGGAUUCCUGAAGAUGAAAAUUGAGAUAACAACAGCCACAGCGCNNNNNACAGCGCCCUUUGCAUUGCCUAACACCUGGAGUGUUAGUGCACUUGUAUGCUUAGUGACCAAAAAAUUUGACAAGUUAGCUGAGUAGGCCAUCGUUGAAUUAAGAACCAGC
rnacentral:misc_RNA from 1 species